AUACCCUUCUCGGCCUUUUGGUUAAGAUCAAGUGUAGUAUUUGUUCUUAUUAGUUUAAUAUCUAAUACGUGGGUCAUCGACCCACUAUGAUAUUAAAUUAAUUUCUUGUGGGGGAGGGUUCACCACAGUGACUUGCCACUGGGACCCUCACAUGUCGCCUAUGCGUUGCACUAUUGUAUGGGCCUGGCAUGCCUUGA
rfam:Musa acuminata subsp. malaccensis Doubled-haploid Pahang (DH-Pahang) genomic chromosome, chr3